rnacentral:misc_RNA from 1 species
GGGUUAUAACUGUAAUCUCGUGUUCUAGGCCAGAAACAAGAAAAAGGUAUCGCCGUUUUUGUUAUUCGUGUAAACGCUUCCAAAUUCCAGCCGUUGUCCAGGGACAGAGACAGAGACAGAGAGAGAGAGAGUUUUCUGUAGUUGCACUAGAGAUUCAAGAAUCAACCCAACAUGAAUUGAAGUGAAAACCCACCCCCAGGUUCUUCCAAAUUUUCCGUUUUGCCCAAACUUGUUUUUUUUGGUUUUUGUUCUUCUCUCUCCUCUCCUGGUAAGUCUCUCUUCCUCUGUCUUUGAAAGACGACCAUGUUUGGAGAGAAAGAUCAUCAUCUCUCCAACGGUGAGGCAGAGAGCUCACGUAACCACGCUAACUCAAAAGAGAAAAUUAGUUUGUCUCACAAGGGGAUUGAUUUUCUCGCGGAGUCGAAGAUGGGUUUUGAUGGGUUUGCCUCAAAACCUCAGGAGCUGACUCUUAGCUACCUUUGUGAAAAUCCCAAACUGGGUUUCACUCAAAAGGGCAAAGAAGUGAUCUUUUCAG